AUCUGAAAUGAAGCAAAGGUUUACCGGUAUAGGAUGGGGAUGCGUCUGAUUAGGUUGUUGGCGGGGUAACGGCCCACCAAGCCUACGAUCAGUAGGGGUUCUGAGAGGAAGGUCCCCCACAUUGGAACUGAGACACGGUCCAAACUCCUACGGGAGGCAGCAGUGAGGAAUAUUGGUCAAUGGACGAGAGUCUGAACCAGCCAAGUAGCGUGCAGGAUGACGGCCCUAUGGGUUGUAAACUGCUUUUAUACAGGGAUAAAGUGACGUACGUGUACGUUUUUGUAGGUACUGUAUGAAUAAGGACCGGCUAAUUCCGUGCCAGCAGCCGCGGUAAUACGGAAGGUCCGGGCGUUAUCCGGAUUUAUUGGGUUUAAAGGGAGCGCAGGCUGAUGAUUAAGCGUGACGUGAAAUGUAGCCGCUCAACGGCUGAACUGCGUCGCGAACUGGUUAUCUUGAGUGAGUUCGAUGUUGGCGGAAUUCGUGGUGUAGCGGUGAAAUGCUUAGAUAUCACGAAGAACUCCGAUUGCGAAGGCAGCCAACAAGGCCUUUACUGACGCUAAAGCUCGAAGGUGCGGGUAUC
rnacentral:rRNA from 1 species